CGUCGUCACAUUAAGGCAGAGUGAGGACGUAAUUAGCUCAUUAGGAGGAGUUCAAUUGUUUCCCCAAAUUUCCUUCCACGAUUUUGUAACCCUUUGCAGAAUUGCAUGGGGAGGUUCGCAACAUUGUCUACUCAUCUGAUAGGAAAUCAGUAUCUAUUGUCUAUCAUGUGACUAUGGAACUGAUGCAGAGUACCCUUCUUUGCAUGGGAGUUAUAUGUGGUUCAGUUUGCAGAAUCUUGUUUGGUUUUACAUUGAUCUUGCAUGCUCAGUUUUUGGGCGUAUAACCAGUUUGUAGGUCCUACUAUUUGAUCUGUGGACGUGACCAAUGAGGGCAUGGAGAUUAUGGCGAGGCAUGGUGAUGCGGUGGCAGUGGUGAAGGUAACCACAUCGAAGGCAGCGGCAAUGGGUGGUUGUCGAUGAAAGCAGCAUGGGGAUGGGGGAGGUGGAGAGGCGAGGGAUGGAGGCGGAGGACGGCAGCCAGGGAGACGGAGUGGCAGUGAGAUUGGACGAGCUCGCCUGCGGAGUGCGUGGGCAAGAUUUCCUUUCCGGGUUGGACGAGGGCUUCUUUGUUUGUGUGUGUGUGCAUGUGUGAGUUCACACCGAUACUCGACCAAAUACUGUGCAUGGUUAUCUGAAAUUCUAGACAAUAGUUCACAUCCCAGUGGCAGGUAAGAACCUUCUUUUUAAUUUAUCAAAUGGCGUCAAUAGACCAUAAAAUUAUCUUCAUUUAUAAUACUAAAGAUAUGUCAAUACAUGUUCUUACAUUUAGGCUCCUAAACCUGUUGAAUGAGUUCUAUAUACAAGAUUUAUAUUGUCCUUCUAUAAAUUAAGACUACACUUGCUAUUGAUGAGUCUAUAAUUGUCAACCUGGACAGUAACAACACACUAUCGUUUUAUCUCUCAAUGUGAGCAAGUAAGAUUUUUUUUCAGAGCUUUAUUCUUUUGUAUUAUUUUUCUAUUACAGAAGUUGAUGCUCCAUCUUGUUAUUCAUUUCCUGGGAUCAUUUCUCGAGGAAUGUACGGAUUUCUCGAAGUGACGCAAUGCUAUGAUCUUCAACCAUGAAAAUGAAACUGUCAGCGCUGAUGGCCUGCUCCUGUGAUCUCAUAGCAUUGUGUCAAGGAGCAGGUGGAGAGGGAGAAAGAGAAAGGGAGAAUGGAAGCCAAGUGAUAGACAAAGAGAGUGAAAGGUAUUUGGUUCAAAAUAUAUUUUUCUACUGUUAACCGAUAGCAUGGAUAUCACUAUUUAUGAUCAUGAUGUCCAUAAGAAAUCAUCAUGACAUGUCGAAUCCUCAACCACUCAGUUAGAUGUUGAUGGAUCUGCAUCACAGCUUUUGUUGAACUCUCAUGGUUGGAGAUACUGCAAGAAUUCUGAUUCGGCACGGCCCUCAUGGAGACAAUGGAGAUGGUGUUCAGCGGUGCGCUCAGCUAGAGUUCGCCGUACGUCCGACAUUUGCUGAUUCGGCAGGGCCCUCAUGGAAACAAAUCCAUGAAAGACGCAUUGGAGCACCAGUUCAGGGCGCAGAGAAACUAAUGGAGCAACCAGGAGUCCAAUCAUUUUAAGGCAGAACAUUGAACAUAUCAGUGAUCGGACACUCGAGACAACUCUUAAUGAGUUCUAGCAACCGAAGACAGAAUAUUUGCGUAGGAUGCAACAAAGCUGCAUGUCAUGAGAUUAUUGAAUACGUUGAGUAAUUUGGAAUGGAAACAUUUUUGGUUAAAUAGGAUGCUCUUGAGAUUAUUUCUCAUGCCAACAUGGCAUGCCCGAGCUAAAAAUGUGCCACCCUUUGACAGGACCAUGCCUUGUUAGAGGAGGUUUCUGGUUGGAUAAAUGAGAAGGCCAUGAUGCCUAUUUGGGCUAAGAUGACUCCUAACAUUGCAGGUAUUACGGAUGGAACUUAAGCUUCCAUAAUGCAUUUGUUGAGUAAUUAGCAGUCACAUAUCUUCUGUGUUUUUAAUUGCUAUACGGUGUCAACAAAUGAUGAGGUUCUAAAUUAUUAUUUUUAUC